rnacentral:rRNA from 1 species
UCGGUGGUACUCGAGCGGCGAACGGGUGAGUAACACGUGAGUAAUCUGCCCUCCACUUUGGGAUAGCCACCGGAAACGGUGAUUAAUACCGGAUAUGACCUUGGCCCGCAUGGGUUUUGGUGGAAAGUUUUUCGGUGGGGGAUGUGCUCGCGGCCUAUCAGCUUGAUGGUGGGGUAAUGGCCUACCAUGGCUUCGACGGGUAGCCGGCCUGAGAGGGUGACCGGCCACACUGGGACUGAGACACGGCCCAGACUCCUACGGGAGGCAGCAGUGGGGAAUAUUGGACAAUGGGCGGAAGCCUGAUCCAGCAACGCCGCGUGAGGGAUGACGGCCUUCGGGUUGUAAACCUCUUUCAGCACAGACGAAGCGAAAGUGACGGUAUGUGCAGAAGAAGCACCGGCCAACUACGUGCCAGCAGCCGCGGUAAUACGUAGGGUGCGAGCGUUGUCCGGAAUUAUUGGGCGUAAAGGGCUCGUAGGCGGUUUGUCGCGUCGGGAGUGAAAACACACAGCUUAACUGUGUGCUGGCUUCCGAUACGGGCAGACUAGAGGUAUGCAGGGGAGAACGGAAUUCCUGGUGUAGCGGUGAAAUGCGCAGAUAUCAGGAGGAACACCGGUGGCGAAGGCGGUUCUCUGGGCAUUACCUGACGCUGAGGAGCGAAAGUGUGGGGAGCGAACAGGAUUAGAUACCCUGGUAGUCCACACCGUAAACGUUGGGCGCUAGGUGUGGGACCUAUUCCA